rnacentral:rRNA from 1 species
AUGCCGCUGCACCGCGGCCUCCUCCCCAUCGCCACUCCUUCCGCCCCGCCCACCAUGCACUUCAGGUACGUCCGCCCACCCCCUGUGCUCAACCCCCAUCUCAUACCAGAAAUAUUAGAUAAUAUCGACCCUUUUGUUGAUGGUCUGAAGUUUUCCGGUGGAUCUCAUAUUUUGAUGGGAAAAGAACUGAUUAGAGAGAUCAUUGAUUUAGCGCACAAGCAUGACAUGUAUGUCAGCACUGGUGACUGGGCAGAGCACCUUCUGCACCAGGGACCCUCUUCCUUCAAGCAAUAUGUAGAGUUGGGAUUCGACACCAUUGAGCUUAACGCCGGAGCUCUCAAGCUCCCUGAAGAGGCUAUCCUGAGACUAGUCCGCCUCAUAAAGAACACUGGCUUGCGAGCCAAGCCCCUGUUUUCAGUGAAGUUCGACAGCUCUGAUAUCCCUGUGGCUGGUGAUAGGGCGUUUGGGGCUUACAUAGCUCCAGUGAAGCAGAGCUCAGCUACCCGCGCUACUAGUAGCCAUUUUACCCGCGCUGCCAGUAGCCUUUUCCCUAGUAGUGAUGCUAAGAUAAUAAUCCAAAAAGAUAGAAGAAGCCAUCUAGCUAAUAACUAUGGACCCGUCGGUCUGAAGUAA